rnacentral:rRNA from 1 species
GUCUAUGGCCAUGCCACCCUGAACAAGCCCAAUCCCGUCUGAUUUCGGAAGCUAAGCAGGGCCAGGCCUAGUUAGCACUUGGAUGGGAGACCACCUAGGAAGACCAGGUGCUGUAGGCA